UUGCAUAUCAAUAAGCGGAGGAAAAGAAACCAACAGGGAUUGCCCCAGUAACGGCGAGUGAAGCGGCAAGAGCUCAAAUUUGAAAGCUGGCUCCUUCGGGGUCCGCAUUGUAAUUUGUAGAGGAUGCUUCGGGAGCGGUCCCCAUCUAAGUGCCCUGGAACGGGACGUCAUAGAGGGUGAGAAUCCCGUAUGGGAUGGGGUGUCCGCGCCCGUGUGAAGCUCCUUCGACGAGUCGAGUUGUUUGGGAAUGCAGCUCUAAAUGGGUGGUAAAUUUCAUCUAAAGCUAAAUAUUGGCCGGAGACCGAUAGCGCACAAGUAGAGUGAUCGAAAGAUGAAAAGCACUUUGAAAAGAGAGUUAAAAAGCACGUGAAAUUGUUGAAAGGGAAGCGCUUGCGACCAGACUCGCUCGCGGGGUUCAGCCGGCAUUCGUGCCGGUGUAUUUCCCCGCGGGCGGGCCAGCGUCGGUUUGGGCGGUCGGUCAAAGGCCCUCGGAAGGUAACGCCCCUCGGGGCGUCUUAUAGCCGAGGGUGCAAUGCGACCUGCCCGGACCGAGGAACGCGUUCGGUCGGACGCGGCAUAAGUCUAACGUCAUUU
rnacentral:rRNA from 1 species